rnacentral:rRNA from 1 species
ACAAUGAAGAGUUUGAUCCUGGCUCAGGAUGAACGCUAGCUACAGGCUUAACACAUGCAAGUCGAGGGGCAGCAUUUCAGUUUGCUUGCAAACUGGAGAUGGCGACCGGCGCACGGGUGAGUAACACGUAUCCAACCUGCCGAUAACUCGGGGAUAGCCUUUCGAAAGAAAGAUUAAUACCCGAUAGUAUAAUUAGACCGCAUGGUCUUAUUAUUAAAGAAUUUCGGUUAUCGAUGGGGAUGCGUUCCAUUAGGCAGUUGGUGAGGUAACGGCUCACCAAACCUUCGAUGGAUAGGGGUUCUGAGAGGAAGGUCCCCCACAUUGGAACUGAGACACGGUCCAAACUCCUACGGGAGGCAGCAGUGAGGAAUAUUGGUCAAUGGGCGCAGGCCUGAACCAGCCAAGUAGCGUGAAGGAUGACUGCCCUAUGGGUUGUAAACUUCUUUUAUAUGGGAAUAAAGUUUUCCACGUGUGGAAUUUUGUAUGUACCAUAUGAAUAAGGAUCGGCUAACUCCGUGCCAGCAGCCGCGGUAAUACGGAGGAUCCGAGCGUUAUCCGGAUUUAUUGGGUUUAAAGGGAGCGUAGGUGGACAGUUAAGUCAGUUGUGAAAGUUUGCGGCUCAACCGUAAAAUUGCAGUUGAUACUGGCUGUCUUGAGUACAGUAGAGGUGGGCGGAAUUCGUGGUGUAGCGGUGAAAUGCUUAGAUAUCACGAAGAACUCCGAUUGCGAAGGCAGCUCACUGGACUGCAACUGACACUGAUGCUCGAAAGUGUGGGUAUCAAACAGGAUUAGAUACCCUGGUAGUCCACACAGUAAACGAUGAAUACUCGCUGUUUGCGAUAUACAGUAAGCGGCCAAGCGAAAGCAUUAAGUAUUCCACCUGGGGAGUACGCCGGCAACGGUGAAACUCAAAGGAAUUGACGACGCGCCGCACAAGCGGAGGAACAUGUGGUUUAAUUCGAUGAUACGCGAGGAACCUUACCCGGGCUUAAAUUGCAUUUGAAUAUAUUGGAAACAGUAUAGUCGUAAGACAAAUGUGAAGGUGCUGCAUGGUUGUCGUCAGCUCGUGCCGUGAGGUGUCGGCUUAAGUGCCAUAACGAGCGCAACCCUUAUCUUUAGUUACUAACAGGUCAUGCUGAGGACUCUAGAGAGACUGCCGUCGUAAGAUGUGAGGAAGGUGGGGAUGACGUCAAAUCAGCACGGCCCUUACGUCCGGGGCUACACACGUGUUACAAUGGGGGGUACAGAAGGCAGCUACCUGGUGACAGGAUGCUAAUCCCAAAAGCCUCUCUCAGUUCGGAUCGAAGUCUGCAACCCGACUUCGUGAAGCUGGAUUCGCUAGUAAUCGCGCAUCAGCCAUGGCGCGGUGAAUACGUUCCCGGGCCUUGUACACACCGCCCGUCAAGCCAUGAAAGCCGGGGGUACCUGAAGUACGUAACCGCAAGGAGCGUCCUAGGGUAAAACUGGUAAUUGGGGCUAAGUCGUAACAAGGUAGCCGUACCGGAAGGUGCGGCUGGAACACCUCCUUU